UACGUAGGGUGCGAGCGUUGUCCGGAAUUAUUGGGCGUAAAGAGCUCGUAGGCGGUGUGUCGCGUCGGCCGUGAAAACCUGCAGCUUAACUGUGGGCUUGCGGUCGAUACGGGCAUCACUGGAGUUCGGCAGGGGAGACUGGAAUUCCUGGUGUAGCGGUGAAAUGCGCAGAUAUCAGGAGGAACACCGGUGGCGAAGGCGGGUCUCUGGGCCGAUACUGACGCU
rnacentral:rRNA from 1 species